UAGCGCAAUCAAUUGUCCCUUAAUUGAGGAAUGGUAUGAAUGGCUGUACGUGAGAUAAGCUGUCUCUAUUAUAAUAGCAUGAAAUUUUCCUUUAAGUGAAAAGACUUAGAUUUUUUUAAAAGACGAGAAGGCCCUAUCGAACUUAAUAGUUUUUAAAAAUAAUAAUUUAAAAAGAAGUUUUACUGGGGCAGUAAGAAGAAAAAAAUAAUUCUUCCUUAGAAAAAAGAUCCCUUAUUAAGGACAAAAGAAAAAGUUACCGUAGGGAUAACAGCGUUAUCGUUUUUAAGAGAACUAAUCGAAGAAACGGUUUGCGACCUCGAUGUUGGAUUUAAAUUUCUUCCUUGGCGCAGUAGUUUGGAAAGUAGGUCUGUUCGCCCUU
rnacentral:rRNA from 1 species